CGCGCCAUCUUGGGUAACGGCCUGCGCAGAGGCCGUCUCCUGCGGGCGCCCGGGAGUGACCGAAGCGGAGGCCGAGGUGCGCAGCUCGCCCGGCCCUUCCCGGGAAGAGCCGGCCCGGAGGCCCCGCCAUCCCCGUGGCCUGGGAGCUCCCUGGGGACGUCACUGUGGUCGCCCCGGCGGGACCGGUGUCCCCCGACUCUGCAGAACAGAGUGAAAGAGCAAACCCGUGCACAAGCCUGCGCAUCUUUUUUAAAGCAGAACUGAUAGGACUCGUAAUAUUCACAGGGACGGAGAGCUUCCUUUCCGCAGUGCGUUUCACACCUUGUCCAAGCGAUCUGCCCUUGCCCCCGAGAGGCACCGUGGCGGAUCCCCGUGCACGUGUCAUCCAUAAAAUCCCCUGUCGCUAACUCUGCCGGAGCUCAACCGCGGCAUUUGCUGUGCGAGGCCGGGGCCCGAGCACAGUGUUCGAGCAAAUAAAAAUUUACCUGGGAAAAAAAAAAGAAAAAUCAUGAGGAGUCUAAAAGCAGCCUGAGGAACGAGCACAUUUCCCCUCCUUUAGCUGAAGUACCCUUUUUUUUUGUUGGGGAUUUGUUACACACCGCACCAUGCCUGUCCCCAGGCCCCGGCGGCAGCGCAGCUCCACACUACCCUCCAGUGGCUGAAUGUCACAGCGUGACCCUCAACGCGCGAGAAUCGCGUGUAAAACCUGCGCCCAGCAGUACCCCGAGAUACAACAUGCCAGAAAUGCAGCUGGCAAAUCCCGGUAGGGCCAUCGUUAGCAUCGACGGAGGCCUCCCUCGAAAAGAAACCGCGCACCCCGACCUCCUCGAGGCGCGGGGCGCUCACCGGCCGCUGCGGGAGGUUGACGAAGAUUUUGCAGGAGCUGAAAGCUGUGGUGUGUCACCGCGCUCAGAUUGCAGACCCGGCCCAGAGCCAGUCUGAGCGGUCAGCCGCUCCGGUAGAUGCAGAUCAUCGCUUGGCAGGUAAAAGUGUCCUGAGGUGCGUACACAUUGUAGUACACUCCGAAAACACAUGUGGAACGGGCAAAAGCACAUCUUAUACAGCAACCAUGCUUUCCAUGAGGUGAUAAAUGAGUAUUUUACUCCUGGGAGCAAAUCCAAUUUCCUUAUUCAACCGCUGGAACAAAAUAGUGUGAGAAGCACUGAGUACUUCUGUAGCUGAAAACAUCACGAUUCCCCCUAUCUAUUCCAGCACUGCAAAGAUAUCACAGAGAUUUCUACGUGUACUGCAAAUUCUGUAUAGAGGAAGGUUCUUCUCCUUUGUGGCAUGAUUUUCGGGUAAUCAAUUUUGUGAUUUAUUACCAGCUGCUUCCAGAGCCAGCAAAUGGGGAUGCUAUGUCUAUUCUCUCAAACCACUGAGUAUUUCAGGCAUUUGCACGUUCUCAUAUGUCAAGUGUUUGAACACUGUAAGUAUUUCUCCCAAUAAAAUCCUGCUAUAAUAUAUAGCAGAACAAAAGAUGGGCAGUUGUGUUUAAACUCAAAGCAAUGAUAGGAUUUAUUAUCUCCAGUUAACAGUAUGUUCUUGGUAUUCAUCUCAAAUUACAGGACUCUCCAAAAUGCCCCUCACAAUGAUCAGAAAGGCCACAGUGAGCACUACUCUUGUUACAUAAUUUUAUGGACUGCUCCAUACGGGGUUUCUGAGGGCUUUAGACUUUGCCUCCUCGUUUCCAUCGUUGGCAGCCUGCAUACGCGCCCCGGGAAUCUUUACACUCCACUGCAGCAGUGCAGAGCACUUCGAGCAGUGCAGUCCCUGCUGCUGUGGCUUGCAGGAUAUUUCUGGCAUCUGAGAAGGACCUGUCUGCCGGUGGCCACGCUGGAAGAAAAGAGCACGUAAAAGCAGCAGUCAGGUCGUCAGCUUCUCUGUCUAGACAUUUCCUGGAAAUUCCCUGGAGGUUACGAAACACAAGAGGAGAACCACUGGACUCACGCAGUGUUACAAUAAAUAAGCCCAAAUUUAUUUAGGAUA